rnacentral:rRNA from 1 species
AGGAUUCCCUAGUAACUGCGAGUGAAGCGGGAAAAGCUCAAAUUUAAAAUCUGUCAGUCUUUGACUGUCCGAGUUGUAAUCUAGAGAAGCAUUAUCCGCGCUGGACCGUGUACAAGUCUCCUGGAAUGGAGCGUCAUAGAGGGUGAGAAUCCCGUCUUUGACACGGACUACCAGGGCUUUGUGAUGUGCUCUCAAAGAGUCGAGUUGUUUGGGAAUGCAGCUCAAAAUGGGUGGUAAAUUCCAUCUAAAGCUAAAUAUUGGCGAGAGACCGAUAGCGAACAAGUACCGUGAGGGAAAGAUGAAAAGAACUUUGGAAAGAGAGUUAAACAGUACGUGAAAUUGCUGAAAGGGAAACGCUUGAAGUCAGUCGCGUUAUCCAGGGAUCAACCUUGCUUUUGCUUGGUGUACUUUCUGGUUGACGGGUCAGCAUCAAUUUUGACCAUUGGAAAAAGACCAGGGGAAUGUGGCAUCUUCGGAUGUGUUAUAGCCCUUUGUUGCAUACAAUGGUUGAGAUUGAGGAACUCAGCACGCCGCAAGGCCGGGUUUUUUUUAACCACGUACGUGCUUAGGAUGCUGGCAUAAUGGCUUUAAUCGACCCGUCUUGAAACACGGACCAAGGAGUCUAACAUGCCUGCGAGUGUUUGGGUGGAAAACCCGAGCGCGUAAUGAAAGUAAAAGUUGAGAUCCCUGUCAUGGGGAGCAUCGACGCCCGGACCAGACCUUUUGUGACGGUUCCGCGGUUGAGCAUGUAUGUUGGGACCCGAAAGAUGGUGAACUAUGCCUGAAUAGGGUGAAGCCAGAGGAAACUCUGGUGGAGGCUCGUAGCGAUUCUGACGUGCAAAUCGAUCGUCAAAUUUGGGUAUAUGGGGCGAAAGACUAAUCGA